UUGUGUUCGCUUCUUUCUUGAGGCAUCAAAUAAUGUAUAUCGUUGGACAAGAAUUACAAGAUGUUUAACACAAAGUGUUUGUUCAUAAUUGGCUUAGCAACAAUUAAAAAACACUACAUCUUCAAUAAAUGGUAAAAUGCUUAAGAAGCAAGACAUUUAUAAGUAACUUUACCAUCUCCUUCAACUGUCCUUUCUUCAGGAGCUCAGGGGCUCACUAUCUGGGCGGUAAGCAGGCUGCCACGCAAAGAUUCUGGAUGCAAAAAGAAAGUAACAACAUUUAGUAAUUCAGCCAUAUUCCUAGUAUCUACAUAUUAGUUUGUGUUAAAAAACAAUGCACAAAUCUUAUCACUGCCGUUGUACCAUUCCAUCAUGGUUGCAAGCUCCUUGUAUUCAAUGUUUUUGUCAAUGUUCUCCUUUGACAAAAAUAUCCCUAAAAUCAUCUCUCCCCUCUUAGCAUUAAGGAGUGAUCUUGCAAAUACAAAAGGUUUAGGGUAUGAGCACCAAAUAUAAAAUGGUGACACGUAGCAAUGAUUUUCAUAAAAAAGGUCACUGAAUAUAAUAAAUAUAGGGCUAUGCUAUGCACUUAUAAUUAACAGUUUUUUGACUGGUACUUAUAAUGAACAGCAGAUAAUAAAAAAACAGUAUGUAAAGUUAAAAUAUGGAAAAUAGUACUGAACUGGAUGUAUUAAUAUUUCAAAGAACUUAUGGGGUAUGAACAUAUUAUUCGGAGGCAUAAGGCCAUGUCCAACGCUCAGCUGCCUGUUCAGACGCCUAACGAAUAAUAAUAAUUAAUUAAAUCAAUUAGCAUAGGUCUAGGUUUCCCCGCCUCCAGCGUGGCAAAUUUAGUAGGUGUCGUGUGUUAACAUAGUAGCAACCAACCUGAUUCACUUCCAUGACCAAGUUGGCCAUACUGAGGAAGUCCUGAUGUACUGAAUAGCACAGAAGAACUAAAUACAUCUUAAAAGAAAUGACGAAGGAAAAACCCCACUAAUUACAGCCAAAGCAGAUAAUAAUCUAAAGUUGUUAUCAUGAGAAGAUGAUCAAAGCUUGCUUUAUCUGAAAGAGAGAAAAAACGUGCUAAUCUUUAAGUUUAAUAGUUUCAGGAAGGCCUUACAGUACGGAAGAUCCCUCAACCGAUGACAAUUAGAUAGUGAAGUCGGCACCACAAACAACAUUAGUUGCUUUAGUAACAAGGCAGGGGAGUGGCGACACCUUAGUCCCUGCACCAAAUUUGGAACAACACGGAGUCAGGGACAACACAAAAAUAACAGCAGUGUAAGAACACAGUGGGAAAAUGAGUUUCCCAUAUGGUCAAAUUCCCAUAAAUUGUCAGAACUGCCCCAUCGUCCUAAACAAUAUAAGUUAUGUAUGCUCAUGUCAUAAAUAUUUUUAUUGGUUUCAUUAUCACCCAAACAGGUAGAUUCUAAGAACAGGUGACAAUAUAAGUUGUAUUUGCUGCACUUCUAGUUGUGUCAUCUAUCAACCAUAAAAAAAGCAACAGGAGAGGGAGUCAACCACUCCUUAGUGAACUCGUCCCCAGCAGUCACCAAAUACAAAGCACUUCCUUCGGUCACUCACGACCAUCGGAUGAUUUCUUUCAACACCCGCUGCAAUCAUAGUGUAUCUGCAGAACUGAGAACUGCUAAUUAGCAUUUAGAAACAUGCCUAUGAAACAUGUAAUGCCGUUGGUCUAUUCAAUUCAUGUAUGUUGAAUGCUAGAAAUAACAGUGGUGAGUAUGAAACGUGACAAAAAUUAAGCAUUGACUCAUACUUGAUACCUGCAAGUCUGCAGCCAAGAGUCUUGACACGCAAGAACAACAAGAACGGCGAAC
rnacentral:lncRNA from 1 species